AUCCAUUUCUAAAGAAGAAGGAAUUGUUCAAUCUUUCCCUGCUGAAAGUGUACUUGGAUCAAAAUGGAGAGGUAGCAGCAGAUCUAAAGAUCAACAGUAGGGUAGUUCUCCUCAAGGAGGAUCCCAUCAACAAGGAAUUGGGGAGUUUUGAAAGGCAGCAACUGAUAAUCAACCAAGAUGCUUUGUCACAGCUAAAGUUGCUCAACCAGUCUCUGCCUCAGUCCAAAUGUGUGGAAAAAUGUCAGCCUGGAUUUGUGAAGAAGGCUCGAGAAGGAGAGCCAUUUUGCUGCUAUGACUGCGUUCCUUGUCCAGAGGGGACCAUCUCCACUCAGGAAGAUACUGAAAAAUGCACCAAAUGUGUAGAUGAACAAUAUCCAACUAAGAACAGAGUCCGGUGUAUCCCAAAAAGAAUAACCUUCCUAUCUUAUGAAGAACAUCUGGGCAUAAUCCUUGUGUUCUUUGCUCUACUCUUGUUCCUAACCACAAGCCUUGUUUUAAUCAUAUUCCUUAAAUAUUUAGAAACUCCCAUUGUCAAAGCCAACAACCGAGACCUCUCCUUCAUCCUCCUGAUCUCCCUCCUGCUCUGUUUUUUGUCCUCCUUUCUCUUCA